rnacentral:rRNA from 1 species
UACGUAGGUGGCAAGCGUUGUCCGGAGUUAUUGGGCGUAAAGCGCGCGCAGGCGGUGCGGUAAGUCUCUGGUGAAAGCGCUCGGCUUAACUGGGCGAGGGCCGGGGAGACUGCCACGCUGGAGGGGAGCAGAGGCGAGUGGAAUUCUGGGUGUAGUGGUGAAAUGCGUAGAGAUCCGGAGGAACACCAGUGGCGAAGGCGGCUCGCUGGGCUCUACCUGACGCUGAGGCGCGAAAGCGUGGGGAGCGAACCGG